rnacentral:tRNA from 1 species
GCAGAAGUGGCGGAAUUGGUAGACGCGCUAGCUUCAGGUGCUAGUGUCCGAAAGGACGUGAGAGUUCAAGUCUCUCUUUCUGCACCA